rnacentral:rRNA from 1 species
GGAGUUAGCCGGUGCUUCUUCUGCGAGUAACGUCACAGAUGUAAGGUAUUAACUUACACCCUUUCCUCCUCGCUGAAAGUGCUUUACAACCCGAAGGCCUUCUUCACACACGCGGCAUGGCUGCAUCAGGGUUUCCCCCAUUGUGCAAUAUUCCCCACUGCUGCCUCCCGUAGGAGUCUGGGCCGUGUCUCAGUCCCAGUGUGGCUGAUCAUCCUCUCAGACCAGCUAGGGAUCGUCGCCUAUGUGAGCCUUUACCUCACCUACUAGCUAAUCCCACCUGGGCUUAUCCAUCAGCGCAAGGCCCGAAGGUCCCCUGCUUUCCCCCGUAGGGCGUAUGCGGUAUUAGCAGUCGUUUCCAACUGUUAUCCCCCACAAAUGGGCAAAUUCCCAGGCAUUACUCACCCGUCCGCCGCUCGUCAUCUUCAAAAGCAAGCUUUUGAAAUGUUACCGCUCGACUUGCAUGUGUUAGGCCUGCCGCCAGCGUUCAAUCUGAGCCAGAAUCGAACCCUGA